UGCUCCUGCUGUGAUUUCCCCACCAUGACAGAUUCUAACCUCUGGAAAUUUUCGAUUUUGGCUGAAGAAGAGUGCCAAGAUAAACAACUGACUGAUCACCACAGGUAGCUGUCUUACAACAAUAGGCCGAUUGAUUCUCGCUGCAAGGGGCAAAGAAGAAUCUACCAAAUCAGGUAUGGCUUU